rnacentral:rRNA from 1 species
ACUGAGGAUAAUACCCUAUAGGUUACCGAUGCUGGAAUGCUCGGUAACUCAAAGUUCCGGCGCCUUAGGAUGGAUCUGCGGCCGAUUAGGUAGUUGUUGGGGUAACGGCCCAACAAGCCCGUAAUCGGUACGGGUUGUGGGAGCAAGAGCCCGGAGUUGGAUUCUGAGACACGAAUCCAGGCCCUACGGGGCGCAGCAGGCGCGAAAACUUUACAAUGCGGGCAACCGUGAUAAGGGAACCUCGAGUGCCUGUACAUGCAGGCUGUCUGGGUGUCUAAAACACACCCAAAGAAAGGGCCGGGCAAGACCGGUGCCAGCCGCCGCGGUAAUACCGGCGACUCGAGUGGUGGCCACUUUUAUUGGGCUUAAAGCGUUCGUAGCUGGGUUGUUAAGUCUCUUGGGAAAUCCGGCGGCUUAACCGUCGGGCGUCUAAGAGAUACUGGCAAUCUUGGAACCGGGAGAGGUGAGGGGUACUUCGGGGGUAGGAGUGAAAUCCUGUAAUCCUCGAGGGACCACCUGUGGCGAAGGCGCCUCACCAGAACGGCUUCGACAGUGAGGGACGAAAGCUGGGGGAGCAAACCGGAUUAGAUACCCGGGUAGUCCCAGCCGUAAACGAUGUGCGUUAGGUGUAUCGACGACCACGAGUCGUCGAGGUGCCGAAGGGAAACCGUGAAACGUACCGCCUGGGAAGUACGGUCGCAAGGCUGAAACUUAAAGGAAUUGGCGGGGGAGCACCACAACAGGUGGAGCCUGCGGUUUAAUUGGACUCAACGCCGGGAAGCUCACCGGAUAGGACAGCGGAAUGAUUGCCGGGCUGAAGACUCUGCAUGACUAGCUGAGAGGAGGUGCAUGGCCGUCGUCAGUUCGUACUGUGAAGCAUCCUGUUAAGUCAGGCAACGAGCGAGACCCACGCCAACAGUUGCCAGCACGAUCCCCGGAUCGGUGGGGACACUGUUGGGACCGCCUCUGCUAAAGAGGAGGAAGGAAUGGGCAACGGUAGGUCAGCAUGCCCCGAAUUAUCCGGGCUACACGCGGGCUACAAUGGGCAGGACAAUGGGUAUCGACACCGAAAGGUGAAGGCAAUCUCCUAAACCUGUCCGUAGUUCGGAUUGUGGGCUGUAACUCGCCCACAUGAAGCUGGAAUCUGUAGUAAUCGCGUCAAAAAUGCCGCCGA